GGUCUCGUAGCUCAGUCGGAUAGAGCAACAGCCUUCUAAGCUGUGGGUCGAAGGUUCGAAUCCUUCCGGGAUCA
rnacentral:tRNA from 1 species